CCUACGGGAGGCAGCAGUGAGGAAUAUUGGUCAAUGGGCGCGAGCCUGAACCAGCCAAGUAGCGUGAAUGAUGACUGCCCUACGGUUUUUAAACUUCGUUUAUAAAGGAAUACAGUGAGGCACGUGUGCCUUUUUGUAUGUACUGUAUGUAUAAGGAUCGGCUAACUCCGUUCCAUCAGCCGCGGUAAUACGGAGGGUCCGAGCGUUAUCCGGAUUUAUUGGGUUUAAAGUGAGCGUAGGUGGGUUGUUAAGUCAGUUGUGAAAGGUUGCGGCUCAACCGUAAAAUGGCAAUUGAUACUGGCAGACUUGAGUGCAGAUGAGGAAGGUGGAAUUCGUGGUGUAGCGGUGAAAUGCUUAGAUAUAUCGAAGAACUCCGAUUGCGAAGGCAGCUUACUAAACUGUAACUGACACUGAGGCUCGAAAGUGUGGGUAUCAAACAGGAUUAGAUACCCUAGUAGUC
rnacentral:rRNA from 1 species